CUGUGGGCAUUUCAUUGUGUUUUCGUGUGGGCAUUGUGUUGGAGCUUUCAUUGGGUUAGGUGUGGCAUUGGGUUAGUGUGAGCAUUGGGUUGUGUGUGAGCAUUGGGUUAGUGUGGCAUUGGGUUAUGUGGACAUUGGUUCGUGUGGGCAUUGGGUUAGUGUGGGCAUUUCAUUGGGUUAGUGUGAGCAUUGGGUUAGUGUGAGCAUUGGGUUAGUGUGAGCAUUUCAUUGGGUUAGUGUGAGCAUUGGGUUAGUGUGAGCAAUGGGUUAGUGUGAGUGUGAGCAUGGUGUGAGCAUUGGGUUAGUGUGGCAUUUCAUUGGGUUAGUGUGAGCUUUCAUUGGUUAGUGUGAGCAUUGGGUUAGUGUGAGCAUUUCACUUGGGUUAGUGUGGCCAUGGGUUAGUGUGAGCAUUUCAUUGGUUAGUUGUGAGAGCAUUGGGUUAGUGUG
rnacentral:lncRNA from 1 species